UAACGCAUUAAGUGCCCGCCUGGGAGUACGAUCGCAAGAUAAACUCAAAGGAAUUGACGGGGCCCGCACAAGCAGCGGAGCAUGCGGCUUAAUUCGACGCAACGCGAAGAACCUUACCAAGGCUUGACAUAUAGGGAAAAGUGGCAGAGAUGUCAUGUCCGCAAGGGCUCUAUACAGGUGGUGCAUGGUUGUCGUCAGCUCGUGUCGUGAGAUGUUGGGUUAAGUCCCGCAACGAGCGCAACCCUCGUUCUGUGUUGCCAGCAUUUAGUUGGGGACUCACAGGAGACUGCCGGGGUUAACUCGGAGGAAGGUGGGGAUGACGUCAAAUCAUCAUGCCCCUUAUGUCUUGGGCUGCACGCAUGCUACAAUGGCCGGUACAGAGGGCUGCAAUACCGUAAGGUGGAGCGAAUCCCAAAAAGCCGGUCUCAGUUCGGAUUGAGGUCUGCAACUCGACCUCAUGAAGUUGGAGUUGCUAGUAAUCGUAGAUCAGCAGCGCUACGGUGAAUACGUUCCCGGGGCUUGUACACACCGCCCGUCACGUCACGAAAGUCGGUAACACCCAAAGUCAGUGGCCCAACCGCAAGGGGGGAGCUGCCUAAGGUGGGAUCGGUGAUUGGGACGAAGUCGUAACAAGGUAACC
rnacentral:rRNA from 1 species